GGAAAGGACAGCAUCUCUUGACAGUGUUGUUGUCUAUGACCAGAAAGUGACGAGAGGCUUUUUCUCAGUCUUUCUUCAAUGAUGUCCCACAAGCGAUGCGAAGACCUAGAUGUGUCGACUCCUUUGGAUUUUUACCAUUAAAGGAAUUAAAAAAUGAAAA